AGAGUUUGAUCCUGGCUCAGAUUGAACGCUGGCGGCAUGCUUUACACAUGCAAGUCGAACGGCAGCACGGGGGCAACCCUGGUGGCGAGUGGCGAACGGGUGAGUAAUGCAUCGGAACGUGUCCUGUAAUGGGGGAUAACCUAUCGAAAGGUAGGCUAAUACCGCAUACGUCCUGAGGGAGAAAGCGGGGGAUCGCAAGACCUCGUGUUAUAGGAGCGGCCGAUGUCGGAUUAGCUAGUUGGUGGGGUAAAGGCCUACCAAGGCGACGAUCCGUAGCGGGUCUGAGAGGACGGCCCGCCACACUGGGACUGAGACACGGCCCAGACUCCUACGGGAGGCAGCAGUGGGGAAUUUUGGACAAUGGGGGCAACCCUGAUCCAGCCAUGCCGCGUGAGUGAAGAAGGCCUUCGGGUUGUAAAGCUCUUUCGGCCGGGAAGAAAUCGCGCCAGCUAAUA
rnacentral:rRNA from 1 species